GCAGUCGAACGGCAGCACGGGUGCUUGCACCUGGUGGCGAGUGGCGAACGGGUGAGUAAUAUAUCGGAACGUGCCCUAGAGUGGGGGAUAACGUAGCGAAAGUUACGCUAAUACCGCAUACGAUCUACGGAUGAAAGUGGGGGAUCGCAAGACCUCAUGCUCGUGGAGCGGCCGAUAUCUGAUUAGCUAGUUGGUGGGGUAAAAGCCUACCAAGGCGACGAUCAGUAGCUGGUCUGAGAGGACGACCAGCCACACUGGGACUGAGACACGGCCCAGACUCCUACGGGAGGCAGCAGUGGGGAAUUUUGGACAAUGGGGGAAACCCUGAUCCAGCAAUGCCGCGUGUGUGAAGAAGGCCUUCGGGUUGUAAAGCACUUUUGUCAGGAACGAAACGGUGGGGGCUAAUACCUCCUGCUAAUGACGGUACCUGAAGAAUAAGCACCGGCUAACUACGUGCCAGCAGCCGCGGUAAUACGUAGGGUGCGAGCGUUAAUCGGAAUUACUGGGCGUAAAGCGUGCGCAGGCGGUUGUGCAAGACAGAUGUGAAAUCCCCGGGCUUAACCUGGGAAUUGCAUUUGUGACUGCACGGCUAGAGUGUGUCAGAGGGGGGUAGAAUUCCACGUGUAGCAGUGAAAUGCGUAGAUAUGUGGAGGAAUACCGAUGGCGAAGGCAGCCCCCUGGGAUAACACUGACGCUCAUGCACGAAAGCGUGGGGAGCAAACAGGAUUAGAUACCCUGGUAGUCCACGCCCUAAACGAUGUCUACUAGUUGUCGGGUCUUAAUUGACUUGGUAACGCAGCUAACGCGUGAAGUAGACCGCCUGGGGAGUACGGUCGCAAGAUUAAAACUCAAAGGAAUUGACGGGGACCCGCACAAGCGGUGGAUGAUGUGGAUUAAUUCGAUGCAACGCGAAAAACCUUACCUACCCUUGACAUGUACGG
rnacentral:rRNA from 1 species